CCUACGGGUGGCAGCAGUGGGGAAUAUUGGGCAAUGGGCGCAAGCCUGACCCAGCAACGCCGCGUGAAGGAAGAAGGCUUUCGGGUUGUAAACUUCUUUUCUCAGGGACGAAGGACCUUACGUUACUUGAGGAAUAAGCCACGGCUAACUACGUGCCAGCAGCCGCGUUAAUCCGUAGGUGGCAAGGGUUAUCCGGAUUUCUUGGGUGUAACGGGCGUGUAGGCGGGAGCGCAAGUGAGAUGUGAAAACGCAGGGCUCAAACCUGGGCCUGCAUUUGAAACUGUGUUUCUUGAGUGCUGGAGAGGUAAGCGGAAUUCCGGGUGUAGCGGUGAAAUGCGUAGAUAUACGGAGGAACACCAGUGGCGAAGGCGGAUUGCUGGACAGUAACUGACGCUGAGGCGCGAAAGCGUGGGGAGCAAACAGGAUUAGAUACCCGAGUAGUC
rnacentral:rRNA from 1 species